CCCCUCUCCUAACCCUCUCCCGCAGGCGGGAGAGGGAACGCCCGCAAUGCGCGAGGCAGUGCCAUAAGCACCUCCUGACUCCUGCUAAGUCGGAAGUCCCACCCUGGCGGAUCACCUCUUAAGCCGAUUCUGCAGUAUCCAUCAACUGGCGGCGCUCGAGCAGCAUCUAGAGGCCCAAUUGCCCUAUAGGAGUCGUAUACAAUUCACGGCCGUCGUUUACAACGUGUGACUGGGAAACCCUGG
rnacentral:rRNA from 1 species